AGCAGCCGCGGUAAUUCCAGCUCCAAUAGCGUAUAUUAAAGUUGUUGCAGUUAAAAAGCUCGUAGUUGAAUUUCGGGAUCAGUACGCUGGUCAUGCCUUUGGUAUGCACUGGUGUCACUGGUUUCUCCCUUCUGAAGAUCCGUGAUGUCAUUAAUUUGGUGUCGCGGGGAAUCAGGACUGUUACUUUGAAAAAAUUAGAGUGUUUAAAGCAGGCUCACGCUUGAAUACAUUAGCAUGGAAUAAUGAAAUAGGACGUUUGACCCUAUUUUGUUGGUUUCUAGGAUCGACGUAAUGAUUAAUAGGGAUAGUUGGGGGCAUUAGUAUUCAAUUGUCAGAGGUGAAAUUCUUGGAUUUAUUGAAGACUAACUACUGCGAAAGCAUUUGCCAAGGAUGUUUUCAUUAAUCAAGAACGAAAGUUAGGGGAUCGAAGACGAUCAGAUACCGUCGUAGUCUUAACCAUAAACUAUGCCGACUAGGGAUCGGAUGAUGUUAAUUUUAUAAUGACUCAUUC
rnacentral:rRNA from 1 species